UAUGAUGGAAGGAGAAGGCGGAGA
rnacentral:siRNA from 1 species